UACGUAGGGUGCGAGCGUUAAUCGGAAUUACUGGGCGUAAAGCGUGCGCAGGCGGUUGGCAAAGUCAGCUGUGAAAGCCCCGGGCUUAACCUGGGAAUGGCGGUUGAAACUAGUCGACUCGAAUCUGGCAGAGGGGGGUGGAAUUCCACGUGUAGCGGUGAAAUGCGUAGAGAUGUGGAGGAACACCAAUGGCGAAGGCAGCCUUCUGGGCCAACACUGACGCUCAUGCACGAAAGCGUGGGGAGCAAACAGG
rnacentral:rRNA from 1 species